GGUACAAAUUAGGGGAAAUUAUUAAUAAAUAAUCGGGGAAAUAUUAAUAAAUAAUAGGGAAAAGAUGAAUAAAUAAGGCAGGAAAUGGGGAUAAAUAAGGAAUAUUAGGGAUCAAUAAUUGGGGAAAAUAUUAAUAAUUAAGGUGGGAAAAUGGCAAUAAAUGGGAUGGAAAAAUAAUGGUAAAUGAGGAAAUUCGGGAUCAAUAAUGGGGAAAAUAUUAAGAAAUGAGGUGGGAAAAUGGGAGUGAAUAAUAGGGAAAAAUAAUGAUGAAUUAGGAAUAUUAGGGAUAAAUAAUAGAGGAAAUAUUAAUGGAUGAGGUGGGAAAAUGGAGUGAAUAAUAAGGAAAAAAUGAGGAUAAAUCAGGAAUAUUCGGGAUAAAUAAUAGGGGAAAAUAUUAAGAAAUGAGGUGGGAAAAUGGGAGUGAAUAAUAGGGAAAAAUAAUGAUAAAUGAGGAAUAUUCGGGAUAAAUAAUAGAGGAAAUAUUAAUGGAUGAGGUGGGAAAAUGGGAGUGAAUGAAGUGGGAAAAUGAGAAUAAAUCAGGAAAUAUUUGGGAUAAAUAAUAGGGGAAAAUAUUAAGAAAUAAGGUGGAAAAAUGGCAAUAAAUGGGAUG